rnacentral:rRNA from 1 species
ACUCCUACGGGAGGCAGCAGUGGGGAAUAUUGCACAAUGGGCGCAAGCCUGAUGCAGCCAUGCCGCGUGUGUGAAGAAGGCCUUCGGGUUGUAAAGCACUUUCAGUUGUGAGGAAGGUGGUGUCGUUAAUAGCGGCAUCAUUUGACGUUAGCAACAGAAGAAGCACCGGCUAACUCCGUGCCAGCAGCCGCGGUAAUACGGAGGGUGCGAGCGUUAAUCGGAAUUACUGGGCGUAAAAGCGCAUGCAGGUGGUUUGUUAAAGUCAGAAUGUGAAAAGCCCGGGGCUCAAACCUCGGAACUGCAUUUGAAACUGGCAGGACUAAGAGUACUGUAGAGGGGGGUAG